GCUAGACCCCGCUGCGUGGCGCACGGCUGAGGAACACGUGGGUGACCUGCCCCGCGGUGGGGGAUAACCCGGCGAAAGCCGGGCUAAACCCGCAUACGCUUCUUAGGAAGGAAAGACGCAAGUCGUCGCGGGAGGGGCCUGCGGCCCAUCAGGUAGUUGGGAGGGUAACGGCCUACCAAGCCGAUGACGGGUCCCUGGUCUGAGAGGACGACCAGGCAGACUGGGACUGAGACACGGCCCAGACUCCUACGGGAGGCAGCAGCAAGGGAUUUUCCCCAAUGGGCGCAAGCCUGAGGGAGCAACGCCGCGUGGAGGAUGACGGCUUUCGGGUUGUAAACUCCUUUUGGGUGGGACGAUAAUGACGGUACCACCCGAAUAAGCCCCGGCUAACUCUGUGCCAGCAGCCGCGGUAAUACAGAGGGGGCAAGCGUUGUCCGGACUUACUGGGCGUAAAGGGCUCGUAGGCGGUGGUGUGCGUCGCUGCUGAAAGCGCCCGGCUUAACCGGGCGAGGCGUGGCGAUACGAUGCUACUGGAGGGUGUCAGAGGGUGGCGGAAUUCCGGGUGUAGUGGUGAAAUGCGUAGAGAUCCGGAGGAACGCCUGUGGCGCAAGCGGCCACCUGGGACAUACCU
rnacentral:rRNA from 1 species